rnacentral:rRNA from 1 species
UUAUACGUCCAUACCACGUUGCUUACACCGCGCCGGUUCUCGUCCGAUCACCGAAGUUAAGCAACGUCGGGCGCGAUCAGUACUUGGACCGCCUGGAACACCGCGUGACGUUGGCU